rfam:Oryza nivara chromosome 4, whole genome shotgun sequence.
AAAAAGACAAACCUUGGGUUUUCGUGUCCAACGUUUGACUGUCUGUUUUAUAUGAAUUUUUUUUAUAACUAAUAUUUGUAUUGUUGUUAGAUGAUAAAACAUGAUUAAUACUUUAUGCGUGACUUGUCUUUGUAAUUUUUUUCAUAUUUUUUUUCAAAUAAGAUGUAUGGUCAAACGUUGGAUACGGAAACUCGGGGUUUGUCUCUUU